CAACCUUCGGUGGCGUCACAGCAGUUUCCCGUGAAGGUAGUAUUUCUUCCUUCUCUGUUACUACGACUUCAUUCGUUACAUUGCCGGGCAGAAUCUCCUUUGUUUUCUCUGUUCGGUCAACUAUCAGAGGUCCAUCGCCAUUCUCUGUAACAUUCCUACUCUCCACCGAUGUUUCCUUGAUGGUUUCAUGUGAAGGUAGUUUUUCUUCCUUCUCUGUUACAACAACUUCAUUCGUUUCAUUGCCGGGCAGAAUCUCCUUUAUUUUCUCUGUUCGGUCAACUACCAGAGGCCCAUCGCCAUUUUCUGUAACAUUCCUACUCUCCACAGAUGUUUCCUUGAUGGUUUCAUGUGAAGGUAGUCUUUCUUCUUUCUCUGUUACAACAAUUUCAUUCGUUUUAUUGCCGGGCAGAAUCUCCUUUGUUUUCUCUGUUCGUUCUAUUUUCUGAGGUCCAUCGCCAUUUUCUGAAGCAUUUCUACUCUCCUCCACAGAUGUCAUCGAAAUGCUUUCCUGUGAAGUUAGUCUUUCUUCUUUCUCUGUUACAUCAAUUUCAUUCGUUUUAUUGCCGGGCAGAAUCUCCUUUGUUUUCUCUGUCCGUUCUACUGUCAGAGGACCAU